AUAAUGGGUCAGCGACUUAUAUUCUGUAGCAAGGUUAACCGAAUAGGGGAGCCGAAGGGAAACCGAGUCUUAACUGGGCGUUAAGUUGCAGGGUAUAGACCCGAAACCCGGUGAUCUAGCCAUGGGCAGGUUGAAGGUUGGGUAACACUAACUGGAGGACCGAACCGACUAAUGUUGAAAAAUUAGCGGAUGACUUGUGGCUGGGGGUGAAAGGCCAAUCAAACCGGGAGAUAGCUGGUUCUCCCCGAAAGCUAUUUAGGUAGCGCCUCGUGAAUUCAUCUCCGGGGGUAGAGCACUGUUUCGGCAAGGGGGUCAUCCCGACUUACCAACCCGAUGCAAACUGCGAAUACCGGAGAAUGUUAUCACGGGAGACACACGGCGGGUGCUAACGUCCGUCGUGAAGAGGGAAACAACCCAGACCGCCAGCUAAGGUCCCAAAGUCAUGGUUAAGUGGGAAACGAUGUGGGAAGGCCCAGACAGCCAGGAUGUUGGCUUAGAAGCAGCCAUCAUUUAAAGAAAGCGUAAUAGCUCACUGGUCGAGUCGGCCUGCGCGGAAGAUGUAACGGGGCUAAACCAUGCACCGAAGCUGCGGCAGC
rnacentral:rRNA from 1 species